rnacentral:rRNA from 1 species
UGGGGAAUUUUGCACAAUGGGCGCAAGCCUGAUGCAGCGACGCCGCGUGAGGGAUGAAGGCCUUCGGGUUGUAAACCUUUUUCGCUCAUGGUCAAGCCGCAGCUUUGGGCUGUGGUGAGGGUCGUGGGUAAAGAAGCGCCGGCUAACUACGUGCCAGCAGCCGCGGUAAUACGUAGGGCGCGAGCGUUGUCCGGAAUUAUUGGGCGUAAAGGGCUUGUAGGCGGUUGGCCGCGUCUGCCGUGAAAUCCUCUGGCUUAACUGGGGGCGUGCGGUGGGUACGGGUUGACUUGAGUGCGGUAGGGGAGACUGGAAUUCCUGGUGUAGCGGUGGAAUGCGCAGAUAUUGGGAGGAACACCAGUAGCGAAGGCGGCUUUCUGGACUAAAACAGACACUGAAGCACGAAAGCGUGGGUAGCAAACAGG